AUGCGUUGAUUUUUCUCUACAAAUCUAUGGCCGAGUAGGCGUUAGAUUUUUAAUCUAAUUACGGAAAUUCCU
rnacentral:tRNA from 1 species